AUUGAACGCUAGCGGGAUGCCUUACACAUGCAAGUCGAACGGAGUGGCGAACGGGUGAGUAAUGUAUCGGAACGUGCCCAGUAGCGGGGGAUAACUACGCGAAAGCGUAGCUAAUACCGCAUACUAUUGGCGCGGCCGAUAUCGGAUUAGCUAGUUGUUGGGGUAACGGCUCACCAAGGCUACGCUCCGUAGCUGGUUUGAGAGGACGACCAGCCACACUGGGACUGAGACACGGCACAGACUCCAACGGGAGGCAGCAGUGGGGAAUUUUGGACAAGGGGCUCAAGCCUGGUCCGGACAUGCCGCGUGUCUGAAGAAGGCCUUCGGGUUGUAAAGGACUUUUGUCAGGGUAGCGGUACCUGAAGAAUAAGCACCGGCUAACUACGUGCCAGCAGCCGCGGUAAUUC
rnacentral:rRNA from 1 species